rnacentral:misc_RNA from 1 species
AAGAAAAUGAACCUUGAGGCUGUUGCUGGCUCUGCAAGUGCACGUUGGUCACUUUCAUUCCUAACACCCUUGUGAACCUUUGGCCUCUUGCUAGCUCCGGCUAGCAGAGGUUUUUUACACACACACACUUGAAUGGAAUGAAAUCCUCUUCUUGUGCGCAAGCACGAAUGUA